CCUACGGGAGGCAGCAGUGAGGAAUAUUGGUCAAUGGGCGGGAGCCUGAACCAGCCAAGUCGCGUGAGGGAAGACGGUCCUACGGAUUGUAAACCUCUUUUGCCGGGGAGCAACGGGGUCCGUGCGAGGGCCCGAUGAGAGUACCCGGAGAAAAAGCAUCGGCUAACUCCGUGCCAGCAGCCUCGGUAAUACGGAGGAUGCGAGCGGUAUCCGGAUUUCUUGGGUUAAAAGGGUGAGUGGGCGGGCUGGUCAGUCAGCGGUAAAAUGUCGGGGCUCAACCCCGGCCUGCCGUUGAAACUGGCGGCCUCGAGUGGGCGAGAAGUAUGCGGAAUGCGUGGUGUAGCGGUGAAAUGCAUAGAUAUCACGCAGAACUCCGAUUGCGAAGGCAGCAUACCGGCGCCCGACUGACGCUGAGGCACGAAAGCGUGGGUAUCGAACAGGAUUAGAUACCCCGGUAGUC
rnacentral:rRNA from 1 species